GCACAAGCGGUGGAGCAUGUGGUUUAAUUCGAUGCAACGCGAAGAACCUUACCAGGUCUUGACAUCCCCUGACAACCCAGAGAUUGGGCGUUCCCCUUCGGGGGACAGGGUGACAGGUGGUGCAUGGUUGUCGUCAGCUCGUGUCGUGAGAUGUUGGGUUAAGUCCCGCAACGAGCGCAACCCUCGCCUCUAGUUGCCAGCAUUCGGUUGGGCACUCUAGAGGGACUGCCGGCGACAAGUCGGAGGAAGGUGGGGAUGACGUCAAAUCAUCAUGCCCCUUAUGACCUGGGCUACACACGUGCUACAAUGGGCGGUACAAAGGGCUGCGAACCCGCGAGGGGGAGCGAAUCCCAAAAAGCCGCUCUCAGUUCGGAUUGCAGGCUGCAACUCGCCUGCAUGAAGCCGGAAUCGCUAGUAAUCGCGGAUCAGCAUGCCGCGGUGAAUACGUUCCCGGGCCUU
rnacentral:rRNA from 1 species